ACAGAAAUGUUUUUGAGAAGAUACCUACAACCGUUGAGGAUUUUAAGAAUAACCAGCCUCAGGAGGAAAAGAGGGUAGCAGUUCUGUAUACACUUUAUAGAAGAGGACGCUGACCUUGGAGGGACUUGCCCAGGGACCCACAACUGACACAGAGCUGAGGAGCAAGUAGAACCUGGAUGCGGAGACCCCACUGGGUGCCCUCUCCCUCAACUGCCACAGGGCAUGAGAAGGAAUGGUAGGAAUAAAGAAGAUAAUGGAGAGGAAGUUAUCCAGGGCAUUGCAUGGCAGAAGACUAAUCUUCUCCCUUACCUGCCCCUUCCUUCCUGAAGUAAACAGGGACUUUGGAAUUAGUCCUCGGUUAAAUCCUCUGUGUACUUGGGAAGAGUAUUCAUUUUCCUGGGUUUUAGUUUUUCUUAUUUAUGAAAUGGUGACAGGAAUAACCAUAUUGAGGGUUCUUUGGAGAAUUGAAAGAGAUGAUCGAUAUAACAUAGGAGGCCUUUUUAGACAAAGCUGCUCUUUUUCCUUCCACCCGCCUCCAGGAUUCUGUCCGGAGCAUCAUGGGUGAGGGUCUCUCAACCUCAGACUAAGAUGGUGAGACCCUGUAUGUCUGUGUGUCUCUGCCUCCUCCUCUGGGCACAGAGCUCUGCAGCCAGCUCUCAGCAGGCCCGGAGGGUUCAGCCAGCAGAGCUGAUGGCUUUAGAGACAGCUCUCAGGCCACUUCAGGACACGAAUCCCUCAGGGGGCGUCAGACCCAAAGAGGGUCACGGCAGCAGCUUUCCAGAGGGGGUGUUGGAGACCCGGACACGUAAAUAACCCUGAGGAGACAGCCCCUUGGUACCCCUUCCUGGUUGUCAGAAGUAUACAUUACGUUAUCCAGAGAGACACUGAGGUUUCAAACCACUUCAUAUUUAAUCGGCAAUCAUGCUCCCUUCCAGAAGCCAUUCCAGGAAAAACAUCAGUUUAGUCCUUGACGAGAAACAAAGCUUUCUGAAAACUUGCACACACAGCCCAGGCCUUGAGGGACCAACUCACAGCCUGUUUUGAGCCAGAGGUGGCGCCAGCCUCAGACACUGGGGCCAAAGCAGUGCACAUCGGUCUCGUGUUUCAGUUGUCCUGAGGGGUGGUGUCGCCAAAUUCAGGGACACAGGGCUGGACGUGGGUGGACACAGAUGAACCUGUGUUUGAAUCUUCCUCUGCCUCCCACUGAUAACAUGUCCUUCAGCAAGAUGUGGAGCCCCGAAGAGCCUUUGUCCUUUGCUUUAAAAUAGGAGUAACAUACCUACCUGGAAGGUUGCUGAGGUCUGAAUCACAUCUGCCAGUGGUUCAAGUUGAAUCACAUGAAAUUGCUACUUUUGAAGGUCAAAAAUGGUUAAAUGUUGGUGAUUUCAUAU